UAAGACGGAUGGUUGUCUCAAGCACUUUUU
rnacentral:piRNA from 1 species